rnacentral:misc_RNA from 1 species
AUUACUGCUCCUGGUAGAUAUUUCAAAUUCAUUAUUGAACAAGUUCCCAUCAUCUUGCAUGAAUGAUGAUUCUAUUCUCUGUAAUGAAUCUACAUGCACUGUGAACCUCAUUUAAAAUCUAAAUCCUUUCAUUUCAAAUCUCCACCUAUCAAAGCUAACUGAAGAUUUUCACUUAUUAUAUUUUUUCAACGCAAGUAGAAAUCACACAAUUGGGAUUUGGGAAAUAUGAUAUGCUGUUUCACUUUUAUUAAUCGUGAAACUAGACUUGCAAUUCCAAGUGUAUGCCUAGAAGAGAAGAGAAACCGGAUAUGAAGUUUUUGGGUGGACACAUGCCUACAUGAAAUUCUAACCUGAGGAUUUUUCGCUUGCUAAUAUUUGGCUAUGUAAUCUAUGCGCUUUAUAACUCUAUUCAUGAGCAUAACACUGGAAUAGCAGAAUACCAUAUUUACAUUCAGGUCCCAUCAACCUAUGUAAUCUGUCCCUUGAAACACUUGUGCAAUAAUUGAUGUCAUCUGUUGUUAAGCAUUGACAUUGGAAGGAUAAUUUACUCGUCUUUUCCUUUCAAUGGUUGCAUUUUUAUUUUUAUUUAUUUAUU